UCGGCCGCUCGUGGUACACAUGCCAGUCACUGAGCAUUUCUCUGCUCAUUCGGCUUCAACGGUAGAUGCAGGUGAUGGUGCAGGAGGAAGGGCAACAGGCCCCAAGGCAGCAGAGUUGGGAGUGGGGGGCUCCAUUCCAAAUGGUCAGGGCCUUGGAAGCAGCUGAUGGCAUCCACUGCAGAUGUGGUUGAUGGAGCAAGCCUGCUGGCAGCAGUUGGCAGGCGGGACAGAGCCAGCAGGGUUUCAAGGAUGUGAAAUCCACAGUUGUGAAACGUGUUCUAGCAAAAACCCUUUCUACUAAGAACUAGAGAUGACACAUCCACUCUACGAUACGACUCAGGCUAAGGAGGUGUAAAGCUUAUCUAAACACUUCUGCAAAGCCCUGCCCAGAGUGCUUUACUGGAAAGAGACACAGCUGCCCAGCUGAGGCCUGGGGUCUAGAACAUCCCAUGCCCUAGGCUCGCCGGGGGUCGCCCAGGCACUGAGGGGCUGCUCCCUCAUCAGGCCUGGGGGUGGGGGGUGGAAAUGGUGCUGUGGCAGGGAUGAUCUUUGGCUCCAGCCCCCAUCAGGCGAGGUGAGGGAGCCUGGGCCCCGGGCUCUGCAUGCUCUCCCGGAGAGCCUCCUCCUCUACACCCUCCAUGCUGUACUCUGCACCCCGGCAGACUCAGGGGCGAAAUCGUCCCACGCAGCUUUCUUUCACCGAGCAUUGAAGCCAGGAGGACCCUGAACUCCCACUCCUUGUCUUCAGCUCCUGGUGCUGGAUUACAGAGCAGUGCUGACAGAGCCAGCAACUUGACCUGGUGGACCAAACGGUCCUGAAGCAGCCCCGUGCCAGUACGUGGAUGUGCGUGAGGCAAUGAUGACUGGAGGCCAUGACAACGAGGAAAGAACGGGGUAAUGCAAAGAAAUGUGGGAGCAUUGCUUCUUCAGUUCUUGGGGAAGGCUGAGGAUGGGAACCAGCCCCUCUUCAGACACUUGGAGAAAACCAAGUGAGGAAUUCACGCUUUCAGCACACCACUAUGCAAGUCCUGUGCCGGAGCCCGCCGGCAGAGUCGAACAGUACCUGAGUGGGGAGCAAGGACAAAUCAUACUACCCACGGGAUCCGCUUGAGAGGGCUGUCAGUCUGACUGAAGCAGCGCAGGUUUAUUCCAGGGCUCAUUAUUUAUAGGCAAAGCAAGCAAAUCACAUCAAUACAAAUAGGAAAAGGUGUGGAACCACCUGACCUUUUCAAAACCUACUUCCCCAGGUGAAAAAAUAACAAAACAGCUUAACAAGCAGCUCUCCAUACCACAGUGUGAGUCCUCCUGAUCCAACUCAGCUCAUCAAGCUUGGCCACAGGUAUAUUGCUUUGGCAAGAGGCCAUUUGUGUCCAGGUACUGGAGGCUUCCGGGUUACCUGGAGCAUCCGGGACUGUCUCUCAGACUAGCUUUGUAGCUGUGUCCCACGGCCCUCCACAGUCCUGCCCCCUUAAACCUGUAUUCUCCCACAGUACUAAUCUUUUUUUUAAAUGUGUGUGAAGUUUGAGAAGUAGUAGCAGAAAUGAAAGAACCUUGCUUUUAUCGAAGACAAUUUUCUCUCUCAUGCAGAAGGCCCCAUUUCUCUCCAUUCACCAGAACACAGGUCUUCGUUCCUCUCUGGCAUGGUUGCACUGAGAGCCAUCCACAAAUCUGUGAUUUCCAGGCUCUUCCAUACCUUCAUGCCUUACCUCUUCGGCCUCUUUA